rnacentral:rRNA from 1 species
UACAGAGGGUGCGAGCGUUGUCCGGAAUCACUGGGCGUAAAGGGCGCGUAGGUGGCGACCCAAGUCGAUGGUGAAAGCUCGCCGCUCAACGGCGAGUCGGCCACCGAUACUGGGUUGCUCGAGCACUGUAGAGGCUAAUGGAAUUCCGGGUGUAGCGGUGGAAUGCGUAGAGAUCCGGAAGAACACCGGUGGCGAAGGCGGUUAGCUGGGCAGUUGCUGACACUGAGGCGCGACAGCGUGGGGAGCGAACGGG